AGUGCCAUUCAGGUAGGCUGGCUGCUUGAGAUAAAGUGCCGUAAGCAUUGGGGGAGUUGGGUGGGCAGGAUCCCAGUGAGUCAGCAGGGCAGAGCCCCAGAGCUCACCAGACCAGUCAGUUUCAGAUUUGGCCAUAAGCGUAGGGGGCGGGCUCAACACAUUAAAGAUGGCGGCCGCCUGCUGGCCGCUCUGGAAAAGAACUCACGGGAAAUGGGACUGGCCUCCAAGCCACACACCUCAGUCUGCUCCCCGAAUGCCUCCAAUGCCCUCUGAAUCACUGUUGCUCCUCUGGAGCCCAAACUGAGUACCUGCGAGUGAAGAAAGCUGGGAUUCUUCCCAAGACAUCUUCACUAAGAAGUUUUCCAUGUGCAUCAACCCAGAGACUUAGGUGAGACUCAUUUAACAGAAACCUCUGCUGGAGGAGCCCGUGAUCCCCCCUCCGCUGACAGCUCACACCUCGCUCGCCCAGGGUCCGGCAGCUUUGCAAUCAGAGGACUCCAUCCACGGAGUCAUGCGUUGGAACAGAGAAAGUCCUGGGAAAUAUGUGGCCCCAGUCGGAAGUGACCAGCUUUCCUCUCUUUGUUCUGCCGAGUCCUGUGGUUCAAGCUCGCGAUAGGACAGGCAGUUUGCUUAAAAGCAGGAAGGCGGCAUUUUCACCUCGAGAUAAAUUCCCAAUUGAAUUUUCUGUUGGACCAAUCCGAAAGAAAUGCAAUUAGACUGUGAGCAAUGUUCAAGCAAAGACUGGGAAGCUUUCAAAGACGGCUCUGCUAGAAAUGAUUUGUUGGGCCCUUGACAUAUGUUUGCAUUUGGCGAUAUUAAUUGCAUCUUAAAGCACCCACGGGAGUCAUGCUUUCUAGGAGCAUAGGUUUUUAAUUUCUCCCACAGAAUGAAGCCAUAAUUUGGAAUUUCCAAGGUAUCAAGACUAACUGGGUAGUGCUCAGCAACCUUAAAAUCAGGAGCAAUUACUGCAACCUGCGCAUGACUGGUGGUGGGUGGGCUGACCAGGCGAGUCCCAUCAUGAAGGUUAGGCUGCAGCUGUGGCUCUGGGUCUGCGCACCAAGGCACCCUGAGGAUGGAGGCCUCCGGACUUGGAGACGAGGGACACAUAGGGACCUCCCCAGGAAGGUGAGCGGAGGUGAGAGGAGGUGGUCCCCGGGUCCCACAUGUCUGGCCUGGAAUUUUGAUCUGACUGUGCUGUUGGCUGGUGAGUCCCAGGGAAAUAACACUCCAUUUCAUUGCAGUGAGUUGAGCUCGCGUCUUCGUGUCUGAAUGAAUACUCCAGCUCAGCGCUGGCCAGCACACCUCUCCACACUGUCCAAGAGAGUAGCCGCUGGCCACGUGGGUACUAAGCACUUGAAAUGUGACUGGCGUGCCUGAGCCGCUGACGUCUAAAUUUUAUUACAGUUGAUCUUUGAACAACAAAGGGGAAAGGGGCACCAACCUCCCAUGCAGUCUAAAAUUUUCACGUAACUUUUGACUCCCUCCAAAUUUAGCUACUAAUAGCCUACUGUUGACCGGAAGCCUUACCGAUAAACAUGAAUAGUCAAUUAAUGCAUGUUUUGUAUGGUAGAGGUAUUAUAUACGAUAUUCUUACCAUAAAGUAAGCUAAAGAAAAUGUUAUUAAGAAAAUCAUAAGGAAAAUACCUUUACAAUGUUUAUUGAAAAGAAUUUGUAUAUAAGCGGGCCCUCGAAGUUCAAACCCAUGUUGUUCAAGGGUCAGCUGUAAUGGUUGAAAUUUAGAUAAGCACAUGUGGCCAGUGGCUCUGCCCUGAACAGCACAGCCCUGGAUUGUCACCAUCUGUGACUAAGUACCAUCUCAUUCAUUCUCAAGGGAGCCUCAGGCUGCCUCUGCAGGGGAGGUGCCUGUCUGUGUGAAAUUCCUGAGAGGCUGUGGUGGCCUUGGGUUAUGAGUUGGCUUCCUGAAUUCUCCCUGAUGUGGUUGAUGGUUAUCGUGGCUCUUUCUUGCCUUAUUUCCAGCUAUAGACCUGUAUGGCUUCCGGUGAACAGAGCAUUUAGUUGGAAUAUUUAUUUAGGAUUUAAUCUCCGAGGCUACAGUCCAGUCUUGGGAUGGAGUUUGGCCAACUCUGCAUUGGUGGCCAGGCUUACAAUGGGCUUCUUAAAACCAAAUGACCAUAGUUCCGGGUUUAUAACUCCCCUGCCAAAGCUGGGCGUGACCUUUUAAGUCUGUGUGUGGGAGAUUCCACAAUGGCCUUGGCUGAAGAAUCCAAGAAAGGUCAGGCCUUGACACUUUCCUCUGAGCUCUUCAGACAAAGUCACUUCUCUUCUACAAACUCCUCUCCAUAGCAGGGUGGAAGGGGGCUGCCUUGGUCUCUCUCGACAGCUUGUUUUUAUUUUGCCCCUGAUUCUGUCAGAUGCCCUGAGCGCAGUAUAAAUGGCUCAGCCUCGGCCCUGUUGGAUGCUGCUGCACAAGAGGCAGAAAUAAUUAAAAAUGAAAGCUGACAUUAAUGUUGUUCUUAUUAGGUGUGAAGCACGGCCUCUAUCAACACCACUAGGAAGGAGGUGCUAUUAUUAUGUCCAUUUUAUAGGUGAGGAAACUGAGGCACAGAUAAGUCACCUUGAGACCAAGCUAGGACCAAGUUGGAGCAAAUGCUGGAGACAAGAAGGCAACACAGCUGGAGGGGAACCCUGAGGUCAACGCGGGGGCAGAGUCAUGUCCAGUCUGGUAUCAGCCUUCCAGGGCCUGGGGUGGCGGCAGAGAGGGGAGUGAAAGCUUCAGGGCAGUGGUACUUUUCAGGGGGUCCUCACUAGACAAUGUGGGCCAGCAGGAGCAGGACCAGCUGGGGAAAGUGGAGGAUGAGAGCACUUACUCAGCUCAGUUACCUGCCAGGGAACACUCACCAUCAGGCGUGGUUCCCCAGGUAACUGGGAGCAGAAACUGGUGUUCAGGGACCCAUGGAGAAAGUCAGGGGCAGAUUGAAAGGGGCCUUUUGUAGCCCCCCCUUUCCAAGACUCGCCACACACCAGGUGUGUGAACGGCUGACUCUUCCCUGACCCCACUUGGUAGUGGGGAGGGACCCUGGUGUUCCUUCGGGUCUGACUCCCACUCAGGCUAUAGGUGACAUUGUGUCAACAGUGUGGGCCAUCUGGGCCCAGCACAGACACCCCCCCAGGCCCACUGAGCCCUCACACCCGGUGUCUUAGGUCAAUUUCCUGAGAUGGGGAUUCUUGCAUCAGUGAUUUAUUGAAGGAGUGCUUUCAGCGGAAAUAUGGGACCGCCCCCAUUCCCAAGCCCGGGGGGAUACGUUCCGAGACCCCAAUGGAUGCCUGAAACUGCGGAUAGUACUGAACUCCACACAUGCUGUGUUUUUUCCUAUGUGUAUGCACAUACAUUUUCACUGAAAGGAAGCACUUUCCGGCUUCUCUUUGGCACCUGAGUUGCCAGCAUCACUCCUCUUGUGCUUUGGGGCCAUUAGUAAGUAAAACAAGGGUGACCUGAACACAAGUACUGUGAUACGGCCACAGUUGCUCUGCUAACCCGAGGCAGCUACUAAGUGACUAGUGGGUGGGGGUCGUCUACAGUGUGGAGACGCUGUAGGGAUGGGAUGAAGCAGGAAGGCACAAGAUCUCAUCAACUGCUCAAAACACACAGUUUCCAGCUUAUGAAUUGUUUAUUUCUGGAAUUUUCCAUUUAAUAUUUUUGGACCGCGGCUGACUGUGGGUAAAUGAAAGCUUAGAGAACGAAACCAUGGAUAAGGAAGGACUAAUACUUGUAAGACAAUUGCUAUGGUCUGAAUUUGUGUCCCCCACCAAAUUCAUGUGUUGAAUCUUAACCCCUAAAGUGCUGGGGUUAGGCCUUUGGAGGUGAUCAGAUCAUGAGGGUGGAACCUGUGAACGGAAUCGGUGCCCUUACCAAGGAGACCCCACCGAGCUCUCUCGCCCCUUCCACCAUGUGAGGACCCAGCAGGAAGGUGCCAGCUAUGUGCCAGGAAGAAGGCUCUUACCCGACCACACUGGCAUCCUGAGCGUGGAUGUCCAGCCUUCAGAACUGUGAGAAAUAAGUUUCUACUGAUUAUAGGUCACCCAGUCUACGGCAUUCUGGUUAUAACAACCUGCUCAGACUAAGAUAAUAACGGUGAGGGGUCAACUGUGUAGAAGAGUCAGGUGUGGGUCGUUCGCAGCAGCUGUUGCAGGUGCCCGGCCUGGUACAGGGACUGAGGGGGCACAGCAUCAGGCACAGUCCCUUGUGGGACUGCUCAUGGCUUCCCAGCCCUUGCUCGGCCCCUGGGUGUGUGCUGCUUCUCCCUGAAGCUCCAGCAGCCCUGACAAGCUCGGUGAGUCCAGAGGGGCUGAAUUUUGCAGCAGGUGGCUCACAUCUUGAAAGUCAGUGUUUGCAGCAAGUAACUGACAUAGUGACACGUGCAAACCUCCCACCGAGGGCUGGCCUCUUUUCACAGGACUUCUGGGACCCCACAGUUUGGAAACAGCAGGGUGCCUGCUGCCCAGAUAUACACACACAGCCAAGAGGCAGCAGACAUGUGUGCCCUGUGCUCCCUGGAUGGACUUGCACCCGGGAGCUUCCUCCAACCACGGCACUGCAAUGGCACCCCCAUCCAAAUCUGGUUUGGUCCUUUUCCUCCUGGGCUUGGUGCCCAUCCAAACACAUUCUCAGCAGGACCCCUCAGGCUGUCCAUGAGAAGAACGUGGCAUUCUUCUCUGGGGCUCAGAAAAUGCAAAUAAACAACUCACUGCAUUUGCACAGGCCAAAGACUGAUCCUUGCCUUGGCAGGCCUGUCCUGCAGCUGCCUCCUCAGGGGUCCUGGGAGGGAUGUGCAUGUGUGGGGGUGUUGGGGGGUCAGGGGGAGACUCAGAUGAAGGAAAACCUAUUGUGGAAUUCAACAAAAACUUUGUGACUGAGGUCAGUGUGGGCCCUGCUCUUUCUCUGGCUGGUAAAGUGAAAACCUUCAGGGGCCAUGUUCUGUUCAAUCCCAAGAAGACAGUCAUAUUGAUAUUCAUGGAGCCAGAAAAAAUGUGCUUCUUGAGAACUGGGACUAGAGACAACGGGGAGAGGCUGCUCGGAGAGCUGGGACAAUAUACCAACGUGCUCCUUGCUGGGCUCAGGGAAAUGAAAGGACACGGAUUCUCUUUGACUAGAACGAAAUCCUCAGGAAGAAGUACGGCAAUGGAGCUAUAUGUUCACUUCCUUCUUUGCUGGGACUUAGAAGAGACUCAUCUCUAAUGACAGAUUUAAAACACGUCAUCACAACCCCAGCAACUUCUCCCAAUCCCCCACAUUACGGCCGAAGGACUCAGGUACCUGGAAGUCCUGAGGACUUUCAGCCUCGGCCCAAACCUGUCCGGGUGACACCUCUCUUGGUCAGUCACUUUCUCGGGCCAGGAUAAAGAAGCUCAUUUUGAAAUUCCAGAAGCAGGAGGGAAAAGAGGGGUCAUCACUCUGACUCCCCUUCACUCCCCUUCUCUCCGCUGCAUGGAAAUCAGGGGGUUUCUCACCAACCCUGUGUGUGGUUGCCAUUUUGUGUGACGUUUUGCUGCUGUUAAAAUGUCACCCACGAAUGUUUACAGCAGCACCACCACAACAGCCAAAAGUGGAAACAACCCAGAAGCCCACCAGGAGAUGAAUGAACGAACUGAAUGUGGUAUGGCCAUACAAUGGACUCUUAGUCCUCCAUAGAAAAGAAUGAAGUGCUGAUAAACAUGCUACAAACCUUGAAGACAUUAUGCCAAGUGAAAGAAACCAGUCACUAAAACUACAUACUGUGGGAUUUCAUUUAUACGAACUAUUCAGAACAGGUAAAUCCAUACAGAAAGCAGAUUAUUAGUUGCCAGGAGCUGGAGGAAUGGGGAGUGACUGCUUAAUAGGUAUGGGGGGGCUAAUUUUCAGGUGCUGAAAAUGUUUUGGAAGUAGAUAGAGGUGGUGGUUGCAAGCCACUGUGAAUGUACUAAAUGCUGCUGAAUUGUGCACUUUAAAAUGGCCAAUUUUACUUUAUGCGAAUUUCAUCUCUGCUGUAGACUAAAUGUUUGUAUCCUCCCAAGACUCAUGUAUUAAUUCCUAACCCCCAAGGUGAUGUUUCUAGGAGGUGGAGCCUUUGGGAGGUGAAUAGAUCACAAAGGUGGAGCCCUCAUGGCAGAUUAGGGCCUUUAUCAAAGAGACCCCACAGACCUUGCUGCCCCUUCUGCCAAGUGAGGACGUAGAGAGAAGGUGGCUGUCUGUGAACAAGGGUGCCAGCCCUCACCAGACUCCGAAUUUACUAGCACAUUGAUCUUGGACUUUCCAGCCUCCAGAACUGUGAGAAAUAAGUUUCUGUUGUUUAUAAGCCACCCAGGCUAUGGUACUUUUGUUAUAGCAGCUCGAAUGAACUAAGACAAACUGAAUUAAAACAAUCAAAAUUGCAGAGCCCUCCCCAAUCUGGGCAGCGGGGCUGGUUGAUGAGAGACAGGCCUCUCUCUUCACAACCAUCCUUCUCUGCGUUCCUUGAAUGGACCUUUCACCCUCUGGACCUGGAGAACUGAAAAAGAAACGCCUUCUCCCGUAUGUGUCAUUCAUUGCUCAGGUUCCUGAGGAAAAAGCUAGUAUUUCCUGAUCGCCUCACAGUAAGUCAGCUCCAGCACUUUCUAUUGUGUGACUUGGGCCCCGAUGCUUACCCUGUUAGCCUUCACUUCCUCAUCUCCAUACACCGAUUUGCAGGGUUGAUGUGAUGAUAAAGUAAGAUAAGGCAGGGAGAGCUCCUCUGGAGUGGGCAUGUGAGAUAGAUACAAACCACUGUUUUUAUACUCUAAGCCCACUGGGAAAAGAAAGGGAAAAAAAUUUCUUUCUACUCCAUAGCUAUACGCCUCCUGUCUACGAGGGGGAGCCUUCUAAAGGAACGCAUCAUCAGGAAACUGUUUCCUUAAUUCCUUUUUCUUUUGGUCCUUCACCUGCCCUUCCCCAAUAUGGUAAGACCCAUUUUUCUGCAGCCAUUUAAAGGGUAACUACACUUGAUCCUUGCCCACAGGACUGCUGGGUAAUCUGGUUGAUCACUAUUUACUACUAGGAGCUCUGUGGUUUUAAACUUUAAACCAGGAGUUGGCAAAAUUUUUCUGUAAAGGGCAAGAGCAAAUAUUUUAGGCUUUGUGGACCAUACUUUAUUUACAAAAUCAGGUAAACGCCUCUUGCCUUUUUGUGUACAGCUCUGAACUGAGAAAUUUUUUGACAUGUUUAAGUAAUUGAUGAAAAAGCAAAGAAGAAUAAUAUAUGACAUGUGAAAAUGAAAUUAAAUUCAAAUUUCUGUGUCUAUAAAUAAAAUUUUAUUGCAACACCAUCAGUUCAUUCAUUAUAUAUUAGCUAUGGCUGCUUCUGAACUACAGUGGCAGAGUUGAGUAGUCGUGGCAUGAACCACAAUGCCUAAAAUAUUUAUCUUGCCCUUUAAGAAAAAUUUUGCUGAACCCUGCUCUAAUCAAAUAAUGUUAGUGAUUAAAAUCCACCACCAGUGAAAGUGAACACAUAGUGGAUAAACUCAUGCUUGCUGUGCUAUAUAUAUAUAUAUAUAUACAUAUAUAUAUAU